GCGGGCAUGGUCUAGGGGUUAUGACAGCGGCUUCCCAAGCCACUUGCUCGGGUUCGAAUCCCGAUGUCCGCA
rnacentral:tRNA from 1 species